rnacentral:lncRNA from 1 species
CUACUCAGAGUAUACUAUGAAAAAUUUAUUGAUUGUACUAGUUCAAGAUCCAAAGCAAAUAACAAACAUAAAAAAUAUUGCAAAGAAUUAUGAGAAGAAAAUAAUAAUAAAAAAAUUAGAAGAGAAAAUAAAUUUAUUCAAAAGAAUAUUGUUGGGGAGAAAUUCACCCCUUGGGUCGAAGACACGAACUAGUAGAGGGG